rnacentral:rRNA from 1 species
UGGGGAAUAUUGGACAAUGGACCGAGAGUCUGAUCCAGCAAUUCUGUGUGCACGAUGAAGUUUUUCGGAAUGUAAAGUGCUUUCAGUUGGGAAGAAAGAAAUGACGGUACCAACAGAAGAAGUGACGGCUAAAUACGUGCCAGCAGCCGCGGUAAUACGUAUGUCACGAGCGUUAUCCGGAUUUAUUGGGCGUAAAGCGCGUCUAGGUGGUUAUGUAAGUCUGAUGUGAAAAUGCAGGGCUCAACUCUGUAUUGCGUUGGAAACUGUGUAACUAGAGUACUGGAGAGGUAAGCGGAACUACAAGUGUAGAGGUGAAAUUCGUAGAUAUUUGUAGGAAUGCCGAUGGGGAAGCCAGCUUACUGGACAGAUACUGACGCUAAAGCGCGAAAGCGUGGGUAGCAAACAGGAUUAGAUACCCUGGUAGUCCACGCUGUAAACGAUGAUUACUAGGUGUUGGGGGUCGAACCUCAGCGCCCAAGCAAACGCGAUAAGUAAUCCGCCUGGGGAGUACGUACGCAAGUAUG